AACUUAGGAUAAUAAAAACCAAGAACCUUCAAAGUUCAAAAUAAGGGUGUAAACCCCUUAGUUUUUGCAAGA
rnacentral:tRNA from 1 species